rnacentral:rRNA from 1 species
UACAGAGGGGGCAAGCGUUGUUCGGAAUUACUGGGCGUAAAGGGCGCGUAGGCGGCCUGUUAAGUCGAACGUGAAAUCCCCGGGCUCAACCCGGGAACUGCGUCCGAUACUGGCAGGCUUGAAUCCGGGAGAGGGAUGCGGAAUUCCAGGUGUAGCGGUGAAGUGCGUAGAUAUCUGGAGGAACACCGGUGGCGAAGGCGGCAUCCUGGACCGGUAUUGACGCCUGAGGCGCGAAAGCCAGGGGAGCAAACGGG